CGCUAUCAUCAUUAUUUUCAUUAUUACCUUCAUUAUCGUAAUGAUAAUCCCUGUACUUUUUACAGCCGGCCCCCGGGCCGGUUUUUUAU
rnacentral:other from 1 species